AUUGAACGCUGGCGGCAGGCCUAACACAUGCAAGUCGAACGAGUGGCGGACGGGUGAGUAAUGUCUGGGAAACUGCCCGAUGGCGGGGGAUAACUCCUGGAAACGGUAGCUAAUACCGCGUAGCAUCGGAUGAGCCCAGAUGGGAUUAGCUUGUAGGUGGGGUAACGGCUCACCUAGGCGACGAUCCCUAGCUGGUCUGAGAGGAUGAACAGCCACACUGGAACUGAGACGGGGUCCCGACUCCUACGGGAGGGAGCAGUGGGGAAUAUUGCACAAUGGGCGCGAGCCUGAUGCAGCCAUGCCGCGUGUAUGAAGAAGGCCUUCGGGUUGUAAAGUACGUUCAGCGGGGAGGCGUUACCCGCAGAAGAAGCACCGGCUAAUUCCGUGCCAGCAGCCGCGGUAAUUC
rnacentral:rRNA from 1 species